UACAGAGGUCUCAAGCGUUGUUCGGAUUCAUUGGGCGUAAAGGGUGCGUAGGCGGCGCGGUAAGUCGGGUGUGAAAUCUUGGAGCUUAACUCCGAAACUGCAUUCGAUACUGCCGUGCUUGAGGACUGGAGAGGAGACUGGAAUUUACGGUGUAGCGGUGAAAUGCGUAGAUAUCAAGCGGAACACCAGUGGCGAAGGCGAGUCCCUGGACAACUCCUGACACUGAUGCACGAAAGCUAGGGGAGCAAACAGG
rnacentral:rRNA from 1 species